rnacentral:rRNA from 1 species
CAUCCCGCCGGGCGGUACACAUGCAAGUCGAGCGGGGGAAAGUAGCUUGCUACUGGACCUAGCGGCGGACGGGUGAGUAAUGCUUAGGAAUCUGCCUAUUAGUGGGGGACAACAUUCCGAAAGGGAUGCUAAUACCGCAUACGUCCUACGGGAGAAAGCAGGGGAUCACUUGUGACCUUGCGCUAAUAGAUGAGCCUAAGUCGGAUUAGCUAGUUGGUGGGGUAAAGGCCUACCAAGGCGACGAACUGUAGCGGGUCUGAGAGGAUGAUCCGCCACACUGGGACUGAGACACGGCCCAGACUCCUACGGGAGGCAGCAGUGGGGAAUAUUGGACAAUGGGGGGAACCCUGAUCCAGCCAUGCCGCGUGUGUGAAGAAGGCCUUAUGGUUGUAAAGCACUUUAAGCGAGGAGGAGGCUACUUUGGUUAAUACCCAGAGAUAGUGGACGUUACUCGCAGAAUAAGCACCGGCUAACUCUGUGCCAGCAGCCGCGGUAAUACAGAGGGUGCGAGCGUUAAUCGGAUUUACUGGGCGUAAAGCGUGCGUAGGUGGCUAAUUAAGUCAAAUGUGAAAUCCCCGAGCUUAACUUGGGAAUUGCAUUCGAUACUGGU